GUAAAGAAAGAGAUUAAGUAGAAACGACCAGUCUUUGACAGACUACAUUGUGAUGGCUACGCUACGUAAAACAGGAACGACAUUUGAGAAUUUAUUUAUAUAAAUUUAACAAAUCUGCUUCAUAAAUCUAUCAAAAACAACUUAGUUUUGAUAUUUACAUAGAUAAAUCUAACGCGAACUAAAAUAUUGUAGUUCUCCUCAUACCAAUUGCGCGUAUACAGUUGCAACAGAAUUGGAUAGUCAAAACAGGUUUGUUCCGAAAUAAAUCGUAAAGCAAAGGGGCUGAGCAAUAAAUCUUGAUACUUGUAUAUCCUCUGCUGUAUAAAAUUAAGCAACAAGGUAAAAGAACGAACAAACCGUCCAGUGCGAAUUACCGUCCCGUUCUCACGACAAUUGAGAAUUAUCCCCGAGUUGAAAAUCCCGAAGGCAGAGCGAGCGUUCGACGAUAAAUAAUAUCGAGCAAUGAAUUAUUUUUAUAUCGGGAUCCCGUGUAGCCACGGAUUCCUGUCACGUCGAAACAUUGAAACGAGCAAAAUGAGCCAUCCACGAGACCAUCAGGCCACAGGGGUCCUCGUACCGAUGGGAAAAUAAAGCAAGAACGCCAUAACCCACGGCAGAUUUAACCAGGCGAAUGAGUGGCAGAGCAGAAAGAAAGAAAUCGUCCAAGCUAAAAAUUGAAGACUUCGAUUUCGAUGAUCGGACAAUUAACUCAGAAUAGUCACGAUCGAAACAUUGAAGACGUAUGAACCGCGUUGUUUAAAAUCGCAAUAUAAUUUCCGAAUGCUUUCUUUCUACUCUAGUAUAAAUUACAAGGUUUACCGAGCGACGAAACCAAUCAUUGACUUUUGAUGCUAUUCGGCUAAGGGAUUUUGCUCAGGAAGUUAGGAAGUUGCGGAGGAAGUUAAGAAAAAGGACUCGAGAGUGAAAGUGGAAGAUAAAAAGUUUGAGAAAGAGGACUGUUUAGAUGGUUUGGUGGUAUACGUGCUAAAGAACAGACAGAAUAUUUGUCGUUUUGAAAAACUUGCAUGCGUUGUGUUUACUUGGGCAUUUCGACUUGAAAGGAAGAUCAAUGAUUUUCAAUUUUUUCGCGACUGACUUUGAAAGAUUGCUAUCGAAGAAUUAUUGCGCUAAAACUGCGAGUCGCGAACACGUAUCUAGUCAGUAAUAAACCGAACAUGUAAAGUGGUUGUAUUAACCUGACUUCACGGAGUGAAAUUGGGCAGAUGAAAGUCAUGUAGUUUAUCUUUUAUAGAAUACAUCACUAUAUCGUUUAGGUAUCGAUAAACUUCUAUCGAUAUCAUAUGCUAUAGAAUUUUGAUUCGUGCUAUUAGCAGAGUCUGUAUGACCUUGAAUAAUUGGUGGACACGAAAGCUCGCAAGCGUUCACGACAAUUUCCAAUAAAGUUAAUAUUCACAAAAUUACACGGUCGAUUAUACUUUAUUAUCAUUACUUUGCAAGAAAAGCACUCUGAAUAAGCAUGGUUAAAUUCUUUUGACGCAGAUUUAAUCUAAAUAAUAUAUCAAUAAAUGUUCAGAAAUCACAACAAGAGCUUCCAUUUCUCGUAUUCCAAAUACAUCCAAAGCUACUCUUUAGCUAUCUGUUUAUUCCAAUGCAAUCUACAGGUACAAUCUUCGGACGUAGAGUCCCGAACUGAGCAUGGGAAAUCGCACAUGAAGCUGAAUCGAGGCAUCGAAAGGAAUCAUCGACGAUGGAAUAGCAAGACGGAGCCGCGCGUGUGCGUACAUGAACGCUCGAAGAAACGAUAGGAUAGGCCAAAGGGGUUGGUGGCGGUUCGCGUGGAACUGUAUAAUUAGAUUAGGUACAAGUCGCAUUAGCAUGUCAUGCAUAUUCCAUGAGGCGCGGACUCGACGUCGAAGUGGGAAUCAUAUUGCAUUCGGUAGUCUCGAUGUAGUUCCCUUGCUUUCUCUGCCUCUCCUCUCUCUGUUUCACGCACUUCGUUUUCGUGCUCAAGCUACGCCCGUUUUCUCCUUUUCCUCUUUUGUUUUCGCACGUUUCGUAUCGCCUCCGUUAUUUGUUUGUUAGCCUACGACUAUGUACGAGAAAACGAAACACUGCUUGGAGAAAGGGAUGGCGGAUUCUGAACUGUUAUUGAGUUUGCAAACUAAUGUUUGUGUUCGUUUGAGCACUGUUAUCGAGAUCGUUUGUAGAUCAAACUUCUGGAAUUCCUCUAAAGAAGAAGAAUAUAUCGUCGCUUUUUAGCGCGAACAAAUCCACAAACAGUUCACAGGCGAAUCGUACGUAUAACACAGUGGAAAAGGUAGCGUGUUCGGAUUUCUAUGUACGAGCAUCCUCGAGAAAUGAAAGCUCGAGGAUCGGAAGCAAACGCUUCCAAGGGAGCACGCGGAUGAAAAUAUCCAUAGUUUCAAACUGGCUGGGACUACCGUAUCGCUAUGGGCGAAAAAGGGAUGAAAUAAAGUCGUAUACCGUCAUCGCAGUAUUUUUCUCCGGUGGUUCACGAGCUUACACAUCCGGAGUCUUGGCACCGGCAAUAUCUCGUCCAACCCCCGUCUGCUUUCCUCCACCUCCAGUUUUCUAUCCCAACUCCUUCCGUUCUCCUCUUUGUCCAAAGGAUUCCGGGCCAGCGUCGGGACACGAGCCGUGCAAUACGCCGUUUCGAAAAACGUAUUACGGACUUAUCUCGCCGCUCUGCUUGUCAAGAAAGAAAACAAUGCCUUUCAGGAACGGAGGAAUUGUGUUCGUAUGCUCAUUCUAUAUCUACUGGAUUGUGAUUGCUUUUCAAUUAACGCGACGCUUCAUGGUUUCAUCCAUUUUGAUGGAAAAUUGAAGAGUUGAAGUGAAUAAACAAUACAGGUGUUAGAGAAAUAAGACAUUUUCUUGGUGAAAAGUAAUAUAGAUUCUAUGUGGAAUACGGUAAAAAAAUGCUGCGAUUGUUAUUGUGAUUAGAAUUUAUUUUAAUUACUAAAUUUAUUGCGAGGUGGAACUAUAAUGGCAACUGUCCAUUAGAUUAAACUAUAGUUAAAAAAGAUGGAAGCAUAGGGUACAUACGAAUAAAUAGCAAAAUAUAACUGAUACGAUAA